rnacentral:lncRNA from 1 species
GAACUGAUCAAGCUGCUUUGGUAAACACACACACUUUCUGAACCACUUGUCCCAUACAGGGUCACAGGGAACCAGAGCCUACCCGACAACACAGGGCAUAACACCAGAGGGGGAGGGGACACACCCAGGACAGGACGCCAGUCCAUCGCAAGGCACCCCAAGCGGGACUCAAACCCCAGACCCACUGGAGAGCAGGACCCGGUCCAACCCACUGCGCCACCACAUCCCCACUUUGACACUGUCCUUGAGAAACCUACAAUACAGGCUGGUGAAACCAGGAAAGACGCAAUAUUCACUGUUCAGGCAAUAUUGAGAAAGGUUUGGAGCAAAGGACAUUAGCACAGACCAAGGGCAGCCAGCAUAACCCCGAAAGGAACUCCAGAAUGUUGUGCUGGGAAUGGGGCAGGUCGGCUGGAGCUCCUCUUCUGGGGGAAAGAGGGCAUCCAGU